UAAGAUUGGACGUACGCUGAGAGGGGUCCUCCCUUAAUCUCUCUCUCUCUCUCUCUCUCUCUCUCUCCCUGGAGAAGAAAAUCUGCGUGUAUUCUCCUCGAAUUUGACUAGGAAACUGGCGACCUGUAUCGAUUGAAGCAUCCAGUGCAUGAUGGACAAGCCGCAUCUGCAUCCAGAAGGCCUCUCCACUGCAUCAUAUAUAUUUUGCGGCUCCACGACUCCAUGGCAGGUAGGAGGCAGCAACAAUGGCUGAAGUUUGUAUCAUCGACAUCAAAUUUGUGCAGCUGUAUGUAGCGUUGGACAGAACAUGUACUCUGCACCAAAGCAAGUUUCAUGGAUCUCAGGGACGAUGGAAUUUAGCUGUAGGAGCAUUGGCCAUGCAGAAUUUUUUAGGGACCUUAUAGGAUUUCGCUUUGAGGUAAAAUUAAUUAAUAUUGGGUCUACCAGGUACAUGUCAUUGCUCCCAUGGUUAAUCUCGAGCUCUUAUGGCUGUUCCAUCAGUUCAAUAUAUUGUGAGAUGUUGAUUGGUAAGAUAUGGUACAGUUUUUGUUGUCCAGUGCUUCUCAAAACAAAAUUUAUUGUCUAGUGUUUGGAUUUGUUCGAAGUUUGUAACUACAUCUGUUAUUUCUAGAUAAGUUUGUCGCUUUCUCUGCAGACCACUGCUCAUUAGGUUAUCUCAUCAUGCAUGCAUGUAGGCUGUACUCAACAUUCCAUCUUUAAGCCCGCUAGCAAGAGGCCUAAAUUAUUUAUGGUGUGUGAUGCAUGCACAAAGGCGUAGGUUUAAAAUUAAUCAACGUCACAGUGUGAACCUUGCCAAACCCAUAUUCAUUAAGUUUAUCAUGAGUAAUAAUUCAGUAGAAUUGAUGUUUCUAUGUUAAUUUAAUUUGUACAUCUCACAUAUAUAGUAUCCUAUUUCAUAGUUGGCAUAACAAUAACAAGGUAGCUCAUGGUUUGCCUCAGCUAGGAGAAAUAGGAUUUUCUAUGUGUUGACCUGCUAUUUCUUUAUGUGAAGUCCAAGUUGGCAUCCACGGUACAUGGAUGCAGAAGAAAACACUUUAUACAGUCGAGCCUCGCCACAAUCUUUUUUUGGAUCUACAGUAACGGUCUUCGUUGCUCGGGUGAUGCAGUGUAGCAGAUAUCGGACAUCUUGCAGAAGAUAAGGAGUGCCACAACCUGCUAGGAGAGGGUGAUCAUAGGAGUUACAGAAUCAAGGCAAGGGAGCAACUAAGGUAAUGGAAAGGGUGUUACAAAUGAGACUUGCACAACCAAAUGUAGGUACGGUGGGAAGAAAGGGCUGGGAGGAUGAUCCCUAUUGUGCAUCUGGCUGCUGUGAUGGUGUGAGAAAAAGCAAAAGGAACCACUUCUGCAGAGGAUUGUACGGGAUGAUGUAACACGGUUUUCAGAAAACAAGCAGAUGCCUAUGCAACUUCAAGUUGGUCGCCCACCAACACAUACUGUCCCAACUAAACAGCUUAAGUGUUGCUUUGACUGAGGUAUUCAUGCCAUAUAUAUUGUGAACCAUUAAAGCGAGCAGCACGUGGAAAUCACAGAAGGAGAAGCGACUGAAGUCCUAAAGUCUAUUAUAAUCUACAUGGUUAAUCUCGAGGUCUUAUGGGUGUUCCAUCACAGUUUAAAAUAUUAUGAGAUGUUGACUGGUAAGGUAUGGUACAAUUAUUGUUGUCCAGUGCUUCUAAAAACAAAAUUUAUUGUACAAUGUUUGGAUUUGUUAGAAGUGUGUAACUACACCUAUUAUUUCUAGAUAAUUUUGGUGCUUUCUCUGUACACCACUGCUCAUUUUCUGUUAUCAUGGGUGUUAUGAUAGAAGUUUUAACAUGCAAUAUAUAGAGUUUAGAAGGUUGUUUUCAUAUAAUCCAAAUCAAAAGUUUUAUGGCAGUCUAUUACAUCAGAGUAGAUAUCUCGAUAUUAACUUGAAUUAUUAUUAUAAUUAACACUUGGAUGACCAAGAAGCAGUUGUCAAGCAUGCAAAAAGUGACAAAAAUGCAAUUUUCAGUAACACCUUGAUAAUUUCGCUUUUCAUAUUCUGGCAAGUGGCAACGUACUUUGGUACUGCUAAAACUGUUGUGCUACAUGUGUGUAUACCUUCAACAUUAGCUUGCUAGGUAAUCUGUAUGCAUGUUUAGGCUUUUUUGGCUGCACAAGACUUUGUAGCCUGCAAAAAGACUUGGCACCGGACUGCGUGCGUUGCCACCUCGGAGAGCGGCUGCAAGCUUGCUGCGUAUCCUGCCUUGGGAAACACACAUGGCUGGCGGCCAACACGUUAGUGACACCAAUGGCAGACCUCACCGGUGGAGGAGCUCAGGCAUGACGCAGUUCACCGGGUGGAGGAACUCAAACAGCAGCUAGACUCCUAGAAGGAUGAAAUCGACCCAAAGAAGAUGUUAUGUACUGGUGGUGUGUCGAUUUGACAACUGAGGAGAGUCAUCAAAGAUAGUGGCGCUCGAUCACACUGGACCAAGUCACUAUAAAAAGUGAUCAGUUCUCCGGGACGAUUUAGGACAGUUGGAAGUUUCUUUUUGCAUAGUGCUAGUGUUUCCAUUGAUAGCCGGUCAAAGCUGAUGUCAAUGUGGAAGCAUUUGCAAGUUGAAUGUUUUUUAUCGGUGGUAUGGACAGAAGAUAAAAAGGUAGAUCAACCAUGUGUAUUUUAGGUGUGUAUGAUGUAAAGAUUGAAGGUUGGUUUUCGUAUCCGAGGGUACGCUAUGUGUGAUGUAUUUCAUCCGGGAGGAUUGUGCUUAGGACUGCAUCGGACAGAGUGU